rnacentral:rRNA from 1 species
UACGAAGGGUGCAAGCGUUAUUCGGAAUCAUUGGGCGUAAAGCGCGCGCAGGCGGAUUGAUAAGUCAGGUGUGAAAUCUCGAGGCUCAACCUCGAAACUGCGCCUGAAACUAUUAGUCUAGAGUGUCGGAGGGGGUAGGGGAAUUUCACGUGUAGGGGUAAAAUCCGUAGAGAUGUGAAGGAACACCGGAGGCGAAGGCGCCUACCUGGACGACUACUGACGCUGAGGCGCGAAAGCGUGGGGAGCAAACAGG